rnacentral:rRNA from 1 species
UGCGUAGGGUGCAAGCGUUAUCCGGAUUUAUUGGGCGUAAAGGGCUCGUAGGCGGUUCGUCGCGUCCGGUGUGAAAGUCCAUCGCUUAACGGUGGAUCCGCGCCGGGUACGGGCGGGCUUGAGUGCGGUAGGGGAGACUGGAAUUCCCGGUGUAACGGUGGAAUGUGUAGAUAUCGGGAAGAACACCAAUGGCGAAGGCAGGUCUCUGGGCCGUUACUGACGCUGAGGAGCGAAAGCGUGGGGAGCGAACAGG